CUGUUCGCCAUUUAAAGCGGUACGCGAGUUGGGUUCAGAACGUCGUGAGACAGUUUGGUCCCUAUCUGCCGUGGGCGUUUGGAUACUUGAAAGGGUCUGUUCCCAGUACGAGAGGACCGGAAUGGACAUGCCUCUGGUGUGCCGGUUGUGGCGCCAGCCGCACCGCCGGGUAGCUAUGCAUGGACGGGAUAACCGCUGAAAGCAUCUAAGCGGGAAGCCUUCCUUGAGACGAGGUAUCCUUUGAGAGCCGUUGAAGACGACGACGUUGAUAGGCCGGAUGUGGAAGCGCGGCGACGUGUGAAGCUGACCGGUACUAAUUGCUCGAGGCUUUGUUUUG
rnacentral:rRNA from 1 species